UACGUAGGGGGCAAGCGUUGUCCGGAUUUAUUGGGCGUAAAGAGCGUGUAGGCGGCCAUACAGGUCAGCUGUGAAAACUCGAGGCUCAACCUCGAGACGUCGGUUGAAACCGUAUGGCUAGAGUCCGGAAGAGGAGAGUGGAAUUCCCGGUGUAGCGGCGAAAUGCGCAGAUAUCGGGAAAAACACCUAUGGCGAAGGCAGCUCUCUGGGACGGUACUGACGCUGAGACGCGAAAGCGUGGGGAGCGAACAGG
rnacentral:rRNA from 1 species